UACGUAGGGACCGAGCGUUGUCCGGAAUCAUUGGGCGUAAAGAGCGUGUAGGCGGCCAACUAAGUCCUGCGUGAAAAUCUCGGGGCUCAACCUCGGGCGUGCGGUGGAUACUGCCGGGCUAGAGGACGGUAGAGGCGAGUGGAAUUCCCGGUGUAGCGGUGAAAUGCGCAGAUAUCAGGAGGAACACCUGUGGUGUAGACGGCUUACUGGACCAUGACUGACGCUGAGGCACGAAAGCGUGGGGAGCAAACAGG
rnacentral:rRNA from 1 species